rnacentral:rRNA from 1 species
GAUGAACGCUGGCGGCGUGCCUAAUACAUGCAAGUCGAGCGAACAGACGAGGAGCUUGCUCCUCUGACGUUAGCGGCGGACGGGUGAGUAACACGUGGAUAACCUACCUAUAAGACUGGGAUAACUUCGGGAAACCGGAGCUAAUACCGGAUAAUAUAUUGAACCGCAUGGUUCAAUAGUGAAAGACGGUUUUGCUGUCACUUAUAGAUGGAUCCGCGCCGCAUUAGCUAGUUGGUAAGGUAACGGCUUACCAAGGCGACGAUGCGUAGCCGACCUGAGAGGGUGAUCGGCCACACUGGAACUGAGACACGGUCCAGACUACUACGGGAGGCAGCAGUAGGGAAUCUUCCGCAAUGGGAGAAAGCCUGACGGAGCAACGCCGCGUGAGUGAUGAAGGUCUUCGGAUCGUAAAACUCUGUUAUUAGGGAAGAACAAAUGUGUAAGUAACUAUGCACGUCUUGACGGUACCUAAUCAGAAAGCCACGGCUAACUACGUG